rnacentral:rRNA from 1 species
GAUGAACGCUGGCGGCGUGCCUAACACAUGCAAGUCGAACGGAAUUUACAUGAAGCCUAGCGAUUGUAAAUUUAGUGGCGGACGGGUGAGUAACGCGUGGGUAACCUGCCUUGUACUGGGGGACAACAGUUGGAAACGACUGCUAAUACCGCAUAAGCGCACAGCUUCGCAUGAAGCAGUGUGAAAAACUCCGGUGGUACAAGAUGGACCCGCGUCUGAUUAGCUGGUUGGUGAGGUAACGGCCCACCAAGGCGACGAUCAGUAGCCGGCCUGAGAGGGUGGACGGCCACAUUGGGACUGAGACACGGCCCAGACUCCUACGGGAGGCAGCAGUGGGGAAUAUUGCACAAUGGGGGAAACCCUGAUGCAGCGACGCCGCGUGAGUGAAGAAGUAUUUCGGUAUGUAAAGCUCUAUCGGCAGGGAAGAAAAAUGACGGUACCUGACUAAGAAGCCCCGGCUAACUACGUG